GUAGUCAGUCGCUCUGUCGCUUUAUUGGAAAAAUAAAGAGGAAAGUCCGGACAACAUAGAGCGCCCUAUUACCUAACGGGUAGCUAUUCGUGAGAGUAGAGUUAAGUAGAAGAAAAUAACCGCCUUAUUUAUAAGGUAAGGGUGAGAAGGUGAGGUAAGAGCUUACCGGGUUUUAUAGCAAUAUAAGAUGCCGUACCACUUAGGGGUUGCAAGAUCAUGUACAUCGGCGCAUGUAGAACUGCUCGUUCGAUGCCGAGGGGUAGAUUGCUGAAGGUUAAAGGUGACUUUAAUCUUAGAUAAAUGACAGAGGCUUGUUCAACAAGUACAGAAUCCGGCUUAUAGACUGACUAUUUUU
rnacentral:RNase_P_RNA from 1 species